GCGGGCGUGGCGGAAUUGGUAGACGCGCCGGAUUUAGGAUCCGGUGGCUUGCGGCCGUGGGGGUUCAAGCCCCUCCGCCCGCACCA
rnacentral:tRNA from 1 species